GCCCCGGUGGCUCAGUGGUAAAGCGUAUCACUAGUACUAUUGUGCUAUGAUAAGAUCGUCAGUUCGAUUCUGGCUCGGGGCA
rnacentral:tRNA from 1 species